GGAGUAGUUUAGGAAGAAUAUGAUUUUGUCAAGAUUAAGGUGUUAAGUGUAACCUCUUCUU
rnacentral:tRNA from 1 species